rnacentral:rRNA from 1 species
AUACAUUUUUAUAAUAUACAAUACUGUGAACAAACCAGAGUGUAUAAAACAUGUAAUAUAAUUAUAUAUUUUAGCAAUGAAUGUUUUAUCAUGGAAUAUUGCUAUUAUAUAAUAUUCGAUGGAGAUAGUUGGAGUUAAGAGUACUGAUAGGCGAGCGGUGAAAUGCAUUGACCCUAUUAAGACUAACAAAAGCGAAAGCACUUAACUAGAUUAUUCUCUUUGUAUUAUUACAAUGAAGAGCGAAGGUUGGGGGAACAAAGAGGAUCAGAUACCCUCGUAGUCCUAUUUUUACAUCAAACUAUGGGAUUUCAUUCACAUACCCUCUACAGUAAUAUUUUAUAUAAUAUGAUUGAGUGUAAUUAUUAUACUCUCAUAUAAUUAAUAUUAUUUAUUUCAUUAAAUGAUUAUAUGUACUUUGAGCUCAUAUAAUUAUAUAGGUGAGAUGUAAGCAUUAUAGGUGAAUAAUAUAUAAGUAAUAUUAUAUUAUUAUGAUCCUUAUCUAUAAAAAUGUAAUGUGAUG